rnacentral:rRNA from 1 species
CACGAACGCUGGCGGCAGGCUUAACACAUGCAAGUCGAGCGCACCGCAAGGGGAGCGGCAGACGGGUGAGUAACACGUGGGAAUCUACCCAUCUCUACGGAAUAACGCAUGGCAAAGUGUCCUAAUACCGUAUACGUCCUUCGGCAAAAAGAUUUAGUGGAGCUGGAUGAGCCCGCGUUGGAUUGGCUAGUUGGUGGGGUAAAGGCCUACCAAGGCGACGACCCAUAGCUGGUCUGAGAGGAUGAUCAGCCACAGUGGGACUGAGACACGGCCCAGACUCCUACGGGAGGCAGCAGUGGGGAAUAUUGGACAAUGGGCGAAAGCCUGAUCCAGCCAUGCCGCGUGAGUGAUGAAGGCUCUAGGGUUGUAAAGCUCUUUCACCGGUGAAGAUAAUGACGGUAACCGGCGAAGAAGCCCCGGCUAACUUCGUGCCAGCCGCCGCAGUAAUAC